UGAGGGGCAUGGCCUAGAGUGGGGAUGG
rnacentral:piRNA from 1 species